GGUCUAAUAGUGUAGUGGUUAUCACAAUGGAUUCUGAUUUACGAGGUUUGUUAACCGCUGGUUAUUACCUUCCAUUAACCCAGGUUCGAGUCCUGGUUAGACCU